AUAUUUUGCAGUUACAACAGGCAAGACCAACCCAAAUUUAACCAGUACAAGACACACAUCGAUGAAGAAGAAGUUCCUCAGUAGCUUUUCUCUGGCUGUGGUGCUCGGUCUCUCCUGGAUCCUGGGCUAUCUGUUGCUCAUUACACAGAACCAGACCAUGUACACCAUACUCAACAUCUCCUUCUGUGUACUCACCACCACUCAGGGCUUGCAGAUUUUCAUUCUGUUCACAGCAAGAACAUCAAUUGUCAAGAAAAAGAUGUCAAGUGCUUUGAAAUCUGUCUCUAGUGUUGGGAUCCCUCUUCACACUAGGGCGUUCAGUCUAUGGCGAGGCGAGCGC